UNGCUCAGUGGUUAAGAGCACUGGCUGCUUUUCCAGAGGUCCUGAGUUCAAUUCUCAG
rnacentral:tRNA from 1 species